GAUGAACGCUGGCGGCGGGCCUAAUACAUGCAAGUCGAACGAAAAGACGAGGAGCUUUGUCCUCUUACUUUAGCGGCGGACGGGGGAGUAACACGUGGAGGACCUACCUAGAAGGCGGGGGUAACCUCGUGGAACCGGAACUAAUACCCGAUAAUAGAUGCAACCGCAUGGUUCAGGAGUUACAGGCGGUUUUGCUUUGACUGAUAGAUGAUGGCGGUCCGCAUUAGCUAGGAGGUAAGGUAACGGCUUACCAAGGCAACGAUUCGUAGCCGAGCUGAGAGGGUGACCGGCCACACUGGAACUGAGACACGGUCCAGACUCCUACGGGAGGCAGCAGUAGGGAAUAUUGCGCAAUGGGCGAAAGCCUGACGGAGCCAUGCCGCGUGAGUGAUGAAGGUCUUCGGAUCGUAAAGCUCUGUUAUCAGGGAAGAACAAAUGUGUAAGUAACUAUGCACGCAUUGACGGUACCUACUGAAAAAGCACCGGCUAACUCCGUG
rnacentral:rRNA from 1 species